GUGGGUGGGUGGCCUAAUGAGUGGAACCCUGAUGUGGUGUUUUCCCCUCCGAAAUUGAUAACACGAAGAAGACUUGUGUCCCUGGUCUUUGUCGUGCUGUGUUUGGAUUCCUGUCUCCUUCCUUUGAGAGGGAGAAUCGAUUUUCCCUCCCAAAGCUGCUCCUUCCAGCUCUUGUCUCUGGCCAUUGUGCCAGCUUGCUUUGUGGGUCGCACCCUGAGGGUCCUGUGCCCAAGAGCUGUUGACUUAGUUUCCUUUGUUGCCCUUGAGGGACCUGAUGUGGUGGGACGCAACCCUCUCCUAGGGCCUUGACCCUGGAGACCAAGUUCGUCUGGUGAGUGUGAGGUGGUGGGUGAGAAGGCGCUGUCUCCCUCUGGAUGUUCAGGAUUUCUGGCCUCCCUGUCCUGUUGUGUCCUCACGGUGUGUCCUUGGGGAAUGGGCGUUCCCAACGUCGAAUGCGCAGAACAGGGAACCGAGGCACAGAGACAUCUAUGUCCCCUUCCCCGGCACGUGUUUCUUCUGCAGGGGAUGUGAGGAGUUCCCUAGUGUCCUGGAGGUUAAGGGUCCAGUCUUUGAUCCCUCCUGUGGUGCAGAUUCAAGCCCUGGACUGGGAACUUCUGCAUGCCCUGGGAGUGGCGAAAAGCAAUCAAUGACCAUUGUGCAUGGUCAUUAUCCAGGUUGUCUCAGCUGCCAAGAGGCAUUUUCACACAAAACCAGUGUGGGGAUGUAACGGUUUGAAGUGCACGCCAAAGAGCAAGAUCUUUCUAAGUAAAACUUGGAUGCUGAAGGCUCUGUUGGGCAGCUGGGGAUUAUGGGCAUUGAGGGCUUGGCCUGGGAGUCAACUGUUAGUCAUUUCCCUGUGGUCUUCUGCAAUCAGUAUAUCACUCGUUCUCUCUGUUGUCAUGUAUUUUCCAGAAUCUUGCUUUGGGAGGAAAGGAUCUUGCUGCAGGAGUCUGAGGAUAUGUUUGUCCUCUGUGAGCUUGGCUAGAAUAAUCCCAUGGUGGCCACACAACAGAGUGCACCCUGCCACUGAGCCAGACGAAGAUACUGUGGAACCUGACUCAGUACAUUCAGCAACCCCCGACGAUGUUGUGGAGGCCGGUGGGAGUGAGAAGACCAAGGAGGAGGCCCUGGCUGGGGAAACUGAGGAGGAGAUGGGGCUGGGGACUGUGAAGGCGGAGGAGGAGGAGGAAAAGGAGGAAGCUGCAGCCAUAGACAAGGCGGAGGAGGAGGCGGCCCAGCCCAUGAAAAUGACAAGGAGGAGUCGCCAGCCAGCGACCGGGCUGAGCACGAAGACAAGCCUGCCCCAAGGUAAGCUCACCUUUCUUGAUGUGAGAUUUGAAAAGUUGCCUUUUUUCUUUUUUGAUAUCCCUAUCUCAGAAAUGGAAAUCUGAGAAAGUCCGUUAUAGAGGGUAUAUGCAGAUUCCUCUGCGGAGGAAUGUUGAGUCAAAGUUUGGUACCAACCAAUAACUCCUUCCAAGGGGCACUGGCCAAAGUGACCGCAUCAGUUCCCAAGUGUACGGCAGGGAGCAUUUUUCUUUGAAGAAGCCUGAAUGUUGUUUUGUUUUGUUUUGUUUUGUUUGUCUUUUUGCCUUUUCUAGGGCCACUCCCGUGGCAUAUGGAGUUUCCCAGGCCAGGGGUCUCAUCGGUGCUGUAGACACCGGCCUACGCCAGAGACGCAGCAGCGUGGGAUCCGAGCCAUGUCGGCAGCCUACACCACAGCUCAUGGCAAUGCCGGAUCCUUAACCUACUGAGCAAGGCCAGGGAUGCAAACCGCAACCGCAUGGUUCCUGGUGGGAUUGGUUAACCACUGUGCCACGACGGGAACUCCAAAAAAGCCUCAAUGUUUUUUAAAUGAACACGGCCUUGGGAGAUCUUCCAUGAGAAGCUGGCGCCUUUGCAAAGGGGUCUUCGCUGUCUUCUCUUGGGGAAACUGACUCAACUCUGCCUUCUGUCUGCGUGCCUGCGGUCCCAACGGCAGGAAGACCUGUGGCCGCAGUGCAGAGGAUGCUGUGACGCUCACAGUGUUUUCUUUUCUCUCAUCACAGGUGGACGGGACGGACGAUGAAAGCUGUGAGUAUUCUGGAACCCUGCUCUGCUGAGGAGAAGUCCAGGUGUUGAGGAAGGGAGGGGGCUUUCCUGCUCCUUUGGUUGCAGAGACACCCUGAUUCUGGGUUCCUCCUGGGAAUGAGGGUGAAGGAUGAGGUGAAAGAGACAGACUUCCCACUGAAGGGCCACCCCAGGUUCUAGGGUCCCUGGACAAAAGGAGGCUCUUUGUAUGGUGUGGGUAGGUGUCCAGGACCAUUGGGCGGGGUGUGUGUGUGUGGGGGGGGCUGUUGGUGUGAUUGGGAAUCAGUGUGAGUGGGUGUGUUUUGUGGGGAGCCGUUUGUGGCU
ensembl:lncRNA